rnacentral:rRNA from 1 species
CACACGGUAAACGAUGAAUGCUAGGUGUAGGGGGUAUCGACCCCUUCUGUGCCGCAGUAAACACAGUAAGCAUUCCGCCUGGGGAGUACGGUCGCAAGAUUAAAACUCAAAGGAAUUGACGGGGGCCCGCACAAGCAGCGGAGCAUGUGGUUUAAUUCGAAGCAACGCGAAGAACCUUACCAGGUCUUGACAUCCAGGUAAAGCCGCAGAGAUGCGGUGUGUGCUUGCACGAUCUGAGACAGGUGG